GAUGAACGCUGGCGGCGUGCCUAAUACAUGCAAGUCGAGCGAACAGACGAGGAGCUUGCUCCUCUGACGUUAGCGGCGGACGGGUGAGUAACACGUGGAUAACCUACCUAUAAGACUGGGAUAACUUCGGGAAACCGGAGCUAAUACCGGAUAAUAUAUUGAACCGCAUGGUUCAAUAGUGAAAGACGGUUUUGCUGUCACUUAUAGAUGGAUCCGCGCCGCAUUAGCUAGUUGGUAAGGUAACGGCUUACCAAGGCAACGAUGCGUAGCCGACCUGAGAGGGUGAUCGGCCACACUGGAACCGAGACAAGGUCCAGACUCCUACGGGAGGCCGCAGGAGGGAAUCUUCCGGAAUGGGCGAAAGCCUGACGGAGCAACGCCGCGUGAGUGAUGAAGGUCUUCGGAUCGUAAAACUCUGUUAUUAGGGAAGAACAAAUGUGUAAGUAACUAUGCACGUCUUGACGGUACCUAAUCAGAAAGCCACGGCUAACUACGUG
rnacentral:rRNA from 1 species